rnacentral:rRNA from 1 species
GACGAACGCUGGCGGCGUGCCUAAUACAUGCCAGUAGAACGCACAGUUUAUACCGUAGCUUGCUACACCAUAGACUGUGAGUUGCGAACGGGUGAGUAACGCGUAGGUAACCUGCCUGGUAGCGGGGGAUAACUAUUGGAAACGAUAGCUAAUACCGCAUAAUAUUAAUUAUUGCAUGAUAAUUGAUUGAAAGAUGCAACUGCAUCACUACCAGAUGGACCUGCGUUGUAUUAGCUAGUAGGUGAGGUAACGGCUCACCUAGGCGACGAUACAUAGCCGACCUGGGAGGGUGAUCGGCCACACUGGGACUGAGACACGGCCCAGACUCCUACGGGAGGCAGCAGUAGGGAAUCUUCGGCAAUGGACGAAAGUCUGACCGAGCAACGCCGCGUGAGUGAAGAAGGUUUUCGGAUCGUAAAGCUCUGUUGUAAGAGAAGAACGGGUGUGAGAGUGGAAAGUUCACACUGUGACGGUAUCUUACCAGAAAGGGACGGCUAACUACGUG